ACAUUUAUACUCCUGGAGCGUCAUCUUCUAGAGCCGCACCGCCUACUCAACUACCAACGCAAGAAACUACGACGUCUCUACAAACUACGCCACAAGAGGAGCACACCACUCCACAACCGCGCGGAGGAAGAUCAAUAAUAUUCACGAAAGAGGCAUUACGAAAGGUGGUCGGAACUAAAAAAAAAAGAAAAAGAGCGAAAAAAAGAAGUUAAAUUAGUGAUUAUCGAAG
rnacentral:lncRNA from 1 species